AUACGUAGGGGGCGAGCGUUGUCCGGAAUGAUUGGGCGUAAAGGGCGCGUAGGCGGCCCGGUAAGUCUGGAGUGAAAGUCCUGUUUUUAAGAUGGGAAUUGCUUUGGAUACUGUCGGGCUUGAGUGCAGGAGAGGUAAGUGGAAUUCCCAGUGUAGCGGUGAAAUGCGUAGAGAUUGGGAGGAACACCAGUGGCGAAGGCGACUUACUGGACUGCAACUGACGCUGAGGCGCGAAAGUGUGGGGAGCAAACAGGAUUAGAUACCCUGGUAGUCCACACCGUAAACGAUGAAUGCUAGGUGUAGGGGGUAUCGACCCCUUCUGUGCCGCAGUCAACACAAUAAGCAUUCCGCCUGGGGAGUACGGCCGCAAGGUUGAAACUCAAAGGAAUUGACGGGG
rnacentral:rRNA from 1 species